GAUGAACGCUGGCGGCGUGCUUAACACAUGCAAGUCGAACGGAAAGGCUCCUGCUUGCAGGGGUACUCGAGUGGCGAACGGGUGAGUAACACGUGGGUGAUCUGCCCAGCACUUCGGGAUAAGCCUGGGAAACUGGGUCUAAUACCGGAUAGGACGAUGGUUUGGAUGCCAUUGUGGAAAGUUUUUUCGGUGUGGGAUGAGCUCACGGCCUAUCAGCUUGUUGGUGGGGUAAUGGCCUACCAAGGCGUCGACGGGUAGCCGGCCUGAGAGGGUGUACGGCCACAUUGGGACUGAGAUACGGCCCAGACUCCUACGGGAGGCAGCAGUGGGGAAUAUUGCACAAUGGGCGCAAGCCUGAUGCAGCGACGCCGCGUGGGGGAUGACGGCCUUCGGGUUGUAAACUCCUUUCGCUAGGGACGAAGCGCAAGUGACGGUACCUGGAGAAGAAGCACCGGCUAACUACGUG
rnacentral:rRNA from 1 species